UACGAAGGGGGCUAGCGUUGUUCGGAAUUACUGGGCGUAAAGGGCUCGUAGGCGGCCAACUAAGUCAGACGUGAAAUCCCUUAGCUUAACUGGGGAACUGCGUCUGAUACUGGAUGGCUUGGAUCCGGGAGAGGGAUGCGGAAUUCCAGGUGUAGCGGUGAAAUGCGUAGAUAUCAGGAGGAACACCUGUGGUGUAGACAGCUUACUGGACCAUAACUGACGCUGAGGCACGAAAGCGUGGGUAGCAAACAGG
rnacentral:rRNA from 1 species